rnacentral:lncRNA from 1 species
UUCCCAUUUGACGGCUGCCAUUGGGUAGAUCAGUUUGCCACUUCAUUAUUAUAUCAUUAUUAUAGAAGCUUAGCCAUGAUCAAGAGCAUUUCCUUGAAGAAUAACGAAUAGAAUGAGAUUCGCAAGUAAGCAUACCAUGAGAUUCGCAAGGCCCCUUAUACCAGGAGGAACAAACUCUAUGGCACAAAGAGUGAGUACCACAAUGGAACUUUAAUGGAGAAGAAUGCUCACCUCGUUGGAGAGCAUGGAGUUCUUAGUUGGUUUUGCAAUUCUCUUGAUCUUGGUUGUCUUCUCGAGCGUGUUCUACCUGAGAGUAGCAUCGCAAUCGCCAUCACUCCCCACUCCACUGCCGAUCAUCGGCCAUCUUUACCUCUUGGGAAAGCUCCCUCACCAUUCUCUCCUCGCGAUCGCUCGAAAGUAUGGCCCCCUCGUCCAGCUCCGGCUUGGCUCGGUACCUGUGGUGAUCGCGUCAAGCCCCGAGAUGGCGAGAGAGUUUCUAAGAAACCAGGAUCUCACCUUUGCGUCGAGGCCGACGUUGCUUACCACGAAGUACAUCCUCUAUGACUCCAAGGACAUGGUUUUUGCUCCAUACGGCGAGCACUGGAGGAGCAUGAGGAAGCUGUGCGUCGUGGAGCUCCUGACGGACCGUCGCCUCGCCUCAUCGCAGCAGGCAAGGCUGGAAGAGCUACAGAGAUUGUUAGCGAAGAUCGCAAAAGUUGUGGAGACGAGCGAACCUUUCUUGCUGCUAGAUCUGCUGACGGAGUUUACGUUCAACGUCAUCACCCGGAUGGUGAUGAACAAGGCUUACUUUGGAUCCGG